AACUGAAUGUUAUCUAUUGAGCAUUUUUUUGUACUUUGUGUAUUGCAGUAAAUUAGACUUGUGAUGAAAUUUAUUUACUGUUUUAGUUUUACAUUUUGAACUUUAAAAUAUGCAUGCCUUGAAGAUACAAUGUGUUUUCAAACCGGUUUGAUUCUGUGGAUAACGUCUCGUUUUUUAAUAAAAAAAGGAACAGAAAAAUUAAGCUGGAAUUUCAUGGGUACUCAUAGCCCGAGAGUCACGCAGACUAUCGCGUGGAAUGAAUUUUCGUCGGAAGUUACGUGUACCAGGUGAGGCUGAACCGGGUCCCGUGGAGGAAAUUGCGGAAGGAAAGGAAAUCAUAGGCGUGUUACAAAUUUUCAGUUCCAACGACAGGCACAGAAUAGAAGUGCAUGCACGGAUACUUUCUGCCACUACCGUAGAUCUUGAGGGGAUCGUGACUUUAAUGGAGUUCACGUUGAAGCGAGUUGCAUGGAAGAACGGUAUCGUUCGCUAUAAAUGUAAUACGGCUUCCCGUGGAAUAUUUCACGAAAGCUUCGUGAGAAUUUCUUCCACUCGACAACCACUCAACGCCCUCCAGGAUGAACUUGACCUUCCACCCGAACAUUCACCUGUGACAAGGACGACGGAAACCGAGGAGAUUCCACUUCCGGUCUUGCUUCACGAACAACGAAAUCGUUUCUUCGUAUUUUCGUGAUCAUAGUAUCGCCAUCGUGAACAAGUUUGUCAAAUAUUUUGGAAUAGGAAUUAAACGUUUAUAAAAUUUCA